GUCCACCGCCGGGCCACUCCGAUUUGCUCCUCCUCGCCACGGUGAGUAUACGCCUAACGCUUAUCCGGCCGAGAACUCGUCAACUCGGGCGCGUUUUCGAACAGAGACCCUACGUAACCUAAAACCUUUCUAACCCUAAACCCUUUCUAGCCCUAAACCCUGCCUAACCCUAAACCCUUUCAAACCCUAAACCCUACCUAACCCUAAACCCUCCCAAACCCUAAACCCCUUCUAACCCUAAAUCUGACCUAACUCUAAACCCUGCCUAACCCUAAACCCAACCUAACCCUAAACCCUUUUUAACCUUAAACCCUUUCUAGCCCUAAAUCCUACUAACCAUAAACCCUACUAACCAUAUAUCCUUUCUAACCCUAUACCCUGCUAACCCUAAACCCUACCUAAUUCUAAACCCUACCUAACCCUAAACUCUACUAACCCUAAACCUAGCCCUAAAACCUACCUAACCCUAAACCCUACUAACCCUAAGCCCUACCUAAUUCUAAACCCUACCUAGCCCUAAACCCUACCUAACUCUUAACCCUACCUACCCUAACCCUACCUAACCCUAAACCCUACCUAGCCCUAAACCCUACUAACCCUAAACCCUACCUAACCCUAAACCCUACCCAACCCUAAACCCUACUAAGUUUAAACCCUACUAACCCUAAACCCUACCUAACCCUAAACCCUACUAAUUCCAAACCUACUUAACCCUAAACCCUACCUAACCCUAAACCCUACCUUGCCCCAAACCCUACUAACCCUAAACCCUACCUAACCCUAAACCCUACCUACCCUAAACCCUUUUUAACCCUAAACUCUUUCUAACCCUAAACCCUACCUAGCCUUAAACCCUACUAACCCUAAACCCUACCUAACCCUAAACCUUACCCAACCCUAAACCCUACUAACUUUAAACCCUACUAACCCUAAACCCUACUAAUUCCAAACCCUACCUAACCCUAAACCCUACCUUGCCCCAAACCCUAAUAACCCUAAACCCUACCUAACCCUAAACCCUACUAACCCUAAACCUCACCUAACCCUAAACCCUACCAACCCUAAACCCUACCUAACCCUAAACCCUACCAAACCUAAACCCUACCUAGCCCUAAACCCUACCCUAAACCCUUUUUAACUCUAAACCCUACCUAACCCUAAACCCUUUCUAACCCUAAACCAUUCGUAACCCUAAACCCUGCCUAACCCUAAACCCUUUCUAACCCUAAACCCUUUCUAACCCUAAACCCUACCUAACCCUAAACCCUACCUAACCCUAAACCCUACUAACCUUAAACCCUACCUAAUUCUAAAACCUACCUAACCCUAAACCCUACCUACCCUAAACCCUACUAAUUCCAAACCCUACCUAACCCUAAACCCUACCUAACCCUAAACCCUACUUAACCCUAAACCCUUUCUAACCCUAAACCCUACCUUGCCCUAAACCCUAUUAACCCUAAAUCCUUUCUAACUCUUGACCCUUUGUAACCCUAAACCAUGCCUAACCCUAUAAACCCUACCUAACCCUAAACCCUUUCUAACACUAAACCGUACCUAACCCGAAACCACGCUAACCCUAAACCCUACCUAACCCUAAACCCUACUAUCCCUAAACCCUACCUAAUUCUAAACCCUACCUAACCUUCAACCCUACCUAACCCUAAACCCUACCUAACCCAAAACCCUACCUAACCCUAAACCCUACCUACCCUAAACCUUACCUAACCCUAAAUUUUACCUAGCCCUAAAACCUACUAACCCUAAACCCUACCUAACCCUAAAUCCUACCAACCUUAAACCCUACCUAACCUUAAACCCUACUAACCCUAAACCCUACCUAACCCUAAACCCUUUUUAACCUUAAACCCUACCUAACCUUAAACCCUUUCUUACCCUAAACCCUUCCAAACCCUAAACCCUGCCUAACCCUAAAAAGCCUACCUAGCCCUAAAUGCCUCCUUAAUCUCAAAUACCCCUAAUCUCAAAUACCCUCUUAAUCUAAAAUGCUCCCUUAAUCUCAAAUACCCUCUUAAUCUAAAAUAUUCCCUUAUUCUCAUAUACCCCUAAACCCUAAACCCUAAAAAUCUCAAAUACCCAUAUUCUCAAAUAUCCCUUAUUCUCAAAUACCCCUAAAUCUCAAUACCCAUUAAUCUCAAAUACCCCUAAUCUAAAAUACUCCCUUAAUCUCAAAUACCCCUAAUCUCAAAUACCCUCUUAAUCUAAAAUACUCCUUCUCAAAUACCCCUAAUCUAAAAUACCCCUUAUUCUCAAAUAUCCUUUAAUCUCAAGUACCCCUAAUCUCAAAUACCCAUAAUCUCAAAUACCCUAUUAAUCUAAAAUGUCUCCUUAAUCUCAAAUACCCUCUUAAUCUAAAAUACCCUCUUAUUCUUAUACACCCCUUAAUCACAUAUACUCUCUAUUCUCAUAUACCCUUUAAUCCUUAAUACCCUUUAUCCCAAAUACCUCUAUUCUCAUAUACCCUUAUUCUCAUAUGCCCUUUAUCCAAAAUAUACAUUAAUCUUAAAUAUUUCUUAGUCCUCUUACCCCUAAUCCCAAAUACUUCUAAUCCCUAAACCCUUAUUUCCAUAUAUCCCCUAGUCCCAAGUACCCUAUUUAAAUUUACACCUAAUCUCAUUAUCCCUAAUCCUUUAUACAUUUAAAUCCCAAAUACCCUUAGUUUUAUACGGCUAAUCUCAUAUACCUUCUAAGGAUUAUUCUAAACCAAACGCUCCUAAGCAUUAUUCUAAGCCAAACCCUAAACCCAACCUAAACCAAACGCUAAACCAUUCCUACUAUCUAAACCCUAAAUUCUACCUAACCCUAAACCCUACCUAAACCUAGACCUUAACCCUACCUAACCCUAAACCCUACAUAAACCUAACCCUAAUCCCUAAACCCUUCCUACUACCUAAACCCUCAACCUAUCUAACCGUAAACCUACCUAACGCUAAACGUAAACCCUACCUAACCCUAAAACCCAACCUAAAACCUAACCCUAACCUUACCUAACCCUAACCCUAAACCAUAUUAACCCUAAACCCUACCUAACCCUAAACACUACCUAGCCUUACAAAACUCUAAACCCUACUAACCCUACCCCCUGUUCGAAACUACGCUAGGCGCUAGUCGGGCGGCUAUUCUGGGCCUAGCGAGUUACCAAAUAAUCGGGGAGUAAUCGGAGAUUAAUCGGCGAUUAAGUCCAAGACAUUUUACUGAUAUAUAUUUGAUUUGGCAAACAUACCAAUAUGUUGACUUGUCCUGGUGGUUAGAAACGCGGAUAAAGACAUCGUGACCCGGUUUCGAAGCCCAGCUUGAACAUUUGUUUUGCAUUUUCCGGCUUUAAUUCAUUAAAUGAGAAAAUUACAUGUUUACCCUCGUCUCUUUGCUAAUGUUCUCUGCAACCCUAGCCGCCAUCUAUAUGCUUCAAACACGAUUUUUCAUCUUUUUAUCAGUUUUGUUCAAAUUUUCUCGGUUUAGCAACACGUUUUGGUAAUCUUAGGCAUCGAUUUCACUGAUUCCACGUUUAAAUCGAAAAAAAAAACAGUCCACCGCCGGGCCACUCCGAUUUGCUCCUCCUCGCCACGGUGAGUAUACGCCUAACGCUUAUCCGGCCGAGAACUCGUCAACUCGGGCGCGUUUUCGAACAGAGACCCUACGUAACCUAAAACCUUUCUAACCCUAAACCCUUUCUAGCCCUAAACCCUGCCUAACCCUAAACCCUUUCAAACCCUAAACCCUACCUAACCCUAAACCCUCCCAAACCCUAAACCCCUUCUAACCCUAAAUCUGACCUAACUCUAAACCCUGCCUAACCCUAAACCCAACCUAACCCUAAACCCUUUUUAACCUUAAACCCUUUCUAGCCCUAAAUCCUACUAACCAUAAACCCUACUAACCAUAUAUCCUUUCUAACCCUAUACCCUGCUAACCCUAAACCCUACCUAAUUCUAAACCCUACCUAACCCUAAACUCUACUAACCCUAAACCUAGCCCUAAAACCUACCUAACCCUAAACCCUACUAACCCUAAGCCCUACCUAAUUCUAAACCCUACCUAGCCCUAAACCCUACCUAACUCUUAACCCUACCUACCCUAACCCUACCUAACCCUAAACCCUACCUAGCCCUAAACCCUACUAACCCUAAACCCUACCUAACCCUAAACCCUACCCAACCCUAAACCCUACUAAGUUUAAACCCUACUAACCCUAAACCCUACCUAACCCUAAACCCUACAAAUUCCAAACCCUACUUAACCCUAAACCCUACCUAACCCUAAACCCUACCUUGCCCCAAACCCUACUAACCCUAAACCCUACCUAACCCUAAACCCUAAUAACCCUAAACCUUACCUAACCCUAUACCCUACCAACCCUAAACCCUACCUAACCCUAAACCCUACUAACCCUAAACCCUACCUACCUUAAACCCUACCCUAAACCCUUUUUAACCCUAAUCCCUACCUAACCCUAAACCCUACUAACCCUAAACCCUACCUACCCUAAACCCUUUUUAACCCUAAACCCUACCUAACCCUAAACCCUUUCUUACCCUAAACCAUUUGUAACCCUAAACCCUGCCUAACCCUAUAAACCCUACCUAACCCUAAACCCUUUCUAACCCUAAAUCCUACCUAACCCUAAACCCUACCUAACCCUAAACCCUACUAACCCUAAACCCUACCUAAUUCUAUACCCUACCUAACCCUAAACCCUAACUACCCUAAACCCUACUAAUUCCAAACCCUACCUAACCCUAAACCCUACCUAACCCUAAACCCUACUUAACCCUAAACCCUACCUAACCCUAAAGCCUACCUUGCCUUAAACCCUACUAACCCUAAACCCUACCUAACCCUAAACCCUACCUACCCUAAACCCUUUUUAACCCUAAACUCUUUCUAACCCUAAACCCUACCUAGCCUUAAACCCUACUAACCCUAAACCCUACCUAACCCUAAACCUUACCCAACCCUAAACCCUACUAACUUUAAACCCUACUAACCCUAAACCCUACUAAUUCCAAACCCUACCUAACCCUAAACCCUACCUUGCCCCAAACCCUAAUAACCCUAAACCCUACCUAACCCUAAACCCUACUAACCCUAAACCUCACCUAACCCUAAACCCUACCAACCCUAAACCCUACCUAACCCUAAACCCUACCAAACCUAAACCCUACCUAGCCCUAAACCCUACCCUAAACCCUUUUUAACUCUAAACCCUACCUAACCCUAAACCCUUUCUAACCCUAAACCAUUCGUAACCCUAAACCCUGCCUAACCCUAAACCCUUUCUAACCCUAAACCCUUUCUAACCCUAAACCCUACCUAACCCUAAACCCUACCUAACCCUAAACCCUACUAACCUUAAACCCUACCUAAUUCUAAAACCUACCUAACCCUAAACCCUACCUACCCUAAACCCUACUAAUUCCAAACCCUACCUAACCCUAAACCCUACCUAACCCUAAACCCUACUUAACCCUAAACCCUUUCUAACCCUAAACCCUACCUUGCCCUAAACCCUAUUAACCCUAAAUCCUUUCUAACUCUUGACCCUUUGUAACCCUAAACCAUGCCUAACCCUAUAAACCCUACCUAACCCUAAACCCUUUCUAACACUAAACCGUACCUAACCCGAAACCACGCUAACCCUAAACCCUACCUAACCCUAAACCCUACUAUCCCUAAACCCUACCUAAUUCUAAACCCUACCUAACCUUCAACCCUACCUAACCCUAAACCCUACCUAACCCAAAACCCUACCUAACCCUAAACCCUACCUACCCUAAACCUUACCUAACCCUAAACUUUACCUAGCCCUAAAACCUACUAACCCUAAACCCUACCUAACCCUAAAUCCUACCAACCUUAAACCCUACCUAACCUUAAACCCUACUAACCCUAAACCCUACCUAACCCUAAACCCUUUUUAACCUUAAACCCUACCUAACCUUAAACCCUUUCUUACCCUAAACCCUUCCAAACCCUAAACCCUGCCUAACCCUAAAAAGCCUACCUAGCCCUAAACCCUUUCUACCCCUAAACCCUGCUAACCCUAAACCCUGUUAACCCUAAACCCUUUCUACCCCUAAACCCUGCUAACCCUAAACCCUGUUAACCCUAAAACCUGCCUAAACCUAACCUUAACACCCUACCUAAACCUAACCAUAAAUCUCAUCUAACGCUAAAACUCUACCAAC
rnacentral:lncRNA from 1 species